GACGAACGCUGGCGGCGUGCUUAACACAUGCAAGUCGAGCGGAAAGGCCCUUCGGGGUACUCGAGCGGCGAACGGGUGAGUAACACGUGAGUAACCUGCCCUGGACUUUGGGAUAACCCUCGGAAACGGGGGCUAAUACCGGAUAUGACUGCUGGCCGCAUGGUUGGUGGUGGAAAGUUUUUCGGUCUGGGAUGGGCUCG
rnacentral:rRNA from 1 species